rnacentral:lncRNA from 1 species
CGUGAGGUUCGCUUGGCGACGUCCUCCUCUGUUCUCCUCACCACUGCGCCGCUGCCUACAACUCCAGCUCUGCCACGACCGGCAACCAUCGUCACAACAGCUGCGGUAGUCGCGAGCAGGACUCUUCAUCACCAUCUCUGCAGCUCUCCCCUUCUGCCCAUCAGUUCCAAGCAGCAACGGCGACGGCAAAGUCUCCGACAUCAAGGCUGCACCGCUCUUCUCUUGCAUCCUCCUCCGUCUCUUGCCUCACAGCUGCCAACAACUUCAAAGACUGCUGUCAAACGACUAGCCGGCCGAGAAUCUCUUCCUCAAACUCGAG